GUGAAAUUUGAUUAGUGGGAAUUUAUGCAAAAUGAACAAAGUGUCCUUGGGUUUGGUUUUGAGGUUAAGUUGAGCUAGGGGAAAAAUGGUCUUUUUGAACAAUUAGACUAAGUUAGGCUGACCAAAGCUGAGAGCUUCUGGGUCAUUCACGUACAAUACACUUACCUCUCUCCUAUCUUGCCUUCGUGAAGAGGUUUUGGAAGACACAACUAAGUUUGGAGUUUGCACCUGAGUUUGAGAAGGGAAAUUAAAGGCUUAGGAGGUGAAGAAUUGCAGAUGAGUACUCCAUUUUCGACCUAAGGUUUUGAAUUCAUCACUGAGGUUUACCGCAAGGCUCGAAAAAAGGGAAUCAUGCUCGAGGUCGUACCACUACUUACAUAGGACUCGAGGCCAUGGCUCGCGAGUGCUAUGUGGUGCAGGUAAGGGCAAAGAAAAGUUGGACCAACCAUGAGUUGGAGAGCUCUAGGAGCAGUGUGUACAUAUGCAGUAUGCUCGACCGCCACGACCGAGAUUUCUCUUGAGGAACUAAGGGAGUAAGUUCUAUUUUUUUUUGGGGCUUUGAAAAGUAAACAAAAAAAGUGGCAAAUUUCAAAGAAAAUGGCAUUCACUCCACCAGGCCCCCUGGCCAUUUCCCAGGCCCAACGUCUGGCCCUCUUCUUUGCUGCUCCUCAGCCAUUGCCACAGCCCAGCCGGCCCAACAUCAAUCACCCAGCCAGCCGAAGACUACCCCUUCCUUCCAUCUCCACUUCAACGGUCAACCUUCCAGCAGCAGCCAUGCGCCUGGCCAAUUCCUCUUCAGCCAGUCCCUGCCGAGACUCCACCAGACCACCCACGAGCCCACCAUUUCCUUCACUCGGCCCAGCCCACAAGCCCAACCCAGCCUACCAACCGAAACCCAAUCUCACCAGCCCAACUUCUCAACUGCUCCAGCCACGUGAACCAUGCCCAACCAGCCACCAACAACCCUCUUGAGCCCACAAUGUACUUUUUGUCCCCUAUGUCUAAAAAUGCCAAUUUUUACCCAAAUUUUUCUACACUUUUUACCUCAAAAUCAUCAUCACUCCUACUAUUUACCAUAUUAUUAUUAAUUUAAUCAAUUUAAUUAAUUUAAAUUGAUUAUUUUAAUAAUCUCAUUUUGGCUAUAAAUAAGGGUUUUGAAGACCAUUUUUGGUGUGCUUAAUUUUUGGGUUACCAUCUUCUUUUCUCCCAUCUUCUUUCUACCAUUUUCUCUCUUCCAUUUUGGGUUUUUCAAGAGCAUUUGCAAGUAUGUAUUUCAUUUAUUGUGUAAUUUCUACUCUAAUUAUGUGCUUCUAAUAUUUUUCAUAAGAUUAUUAAGAUCAUGAUGAAGCAACUUGUAACUAGGUAAUAUUAAUGUUGUAUGUUGAUUUUCCUGUAAUGCAACAAAGUUUAUGGACUUUUCUUCUUCA